AAAACCACGCAGCUGGUCAGGAUGUAAACAAGUGAGGGGCAACAUUCCAGCCCCAGCAAGCAGCAGAACUUGGCGCCUUUCUUCUGGCUUUUCAAUCUCUCCCCCUUCGCUUGUCCAGAGGGUCCCUCCAUGGAGAAGCAGAGAGGCCAUUGAGCAAGGCUGGAAGAGUGAAUCCUGGAUUUCGAUGGAGAACCCAACAUUGGGAGAUGUCAGAGUCUCCAGGUUUUCCCAAGGACAGCUGCUAACAGGUGUGAACCAGCCAGAGAGAGGGGGGGGGCAGACGGGGGGGGAGAGAGAGAGAGAGAGAGAGAGAGAGAGAGAGAGAGAGAGAGAGAGAGAGAGGGAGAGGGAGAGGGAGAGAGAGAGGGAGAGGGAGAGAGAGAGAGAGAGAGGUGUGGUGCAGCCAACAGAGCUGGCAGGAGUUGGGAUCUGAAGAGAGCUUUGGCAUCAGACAUGGGGAUGUAGGCUGCAGUUUGACCAGCUGGAUUUUAGUCUGUGAUCCAGCAUUUCCUCAGUUUGCUCCAUUUUUUCCUUUUGAAACAGAAAUGUGCAUCCUGUGCCAUUGUAUAUAUGAACUAUGUGGCCCGCUUUUUUAUUUUCUUUAUAGAGGGGUUGCAGCUAAGAGAUUGCCUUGAGUCUCAGAAGAGACUGUAAACUUUGAACUAACCACAGUGUUGAGACUGACGGACUCUGGGAACUUUCAAAGUUGGACUCAAUGUCUUUUGUUAUUAUGAUAUGGCUACAAUACUAUAGGGACAGGUCACAGGAGGAAGAGGGGGGUGUUUGCGGGGUGGGUCUCGCCACUCACAGCCUCAUGCUCACACUGGCUGAGGCCUUUUUCCACCAUCAUCUCCCGGCCCGGCCUCGGGGGAGCCAGAUACAAGGGAGUCCGCUACUCUACUCUUAAAAAAAAAAAAUGGAGGAAAGAAAAACUGGGUGUCUGUGCGCUGGUGGGAAUGGAUCUGCAAGCAUACAGAAGCACCAGCAGGGGGCGCAGAGAGCUCGGCGUUUGUGAGUUCAAGAGCUGAGUUUGAUGCAGCCCUGGAAAGCCAACAACCACCCUGGCAGGGAGAUAUUUGAUGCAGUCAGGGCUCUCCACAGCUCUGAGGUUGAACUGCAGAGAGACAAGCCUUGCCUCAAAUUCUCUGCUUGCAGCUCUGUGACUUCUCAAUGCAGCCAUCACCCAGGGUGCAGGCAGCAGAGCUGCGACCAGAUGCAGAGUUCAAAGUCUCAGGAACCCUGCUCUUCCUGGCUCUUGAAGACUCAUAGCUCAACCUCCCAGGGUGCUUGGGUAGACACCACCUGCAUCUCAUGCCUAAACUGCCACCUUGUAUUCCGGAUGCAGGAGCUGUCAAGGCAGUUACAUGAGGCCCUGAGAACCACACCUGCUGAUGGGGCUUCAGCUUGGCCUACAUCUUGCUGAGCCAGCACCUCAUGGCCAGACAGGAUCAUGAACACUUAGCACUGCCUGCUGUACAAAAAACUUCAAAACAGUCACAAGUACAGUCUAGAGGAUCUGAGGGUCUCCUCGUGCCUGGUUUGCAUAAAACAAGGGGCCCUUCUUGCAGUUCCUUGGAUUCAGUUUUCUGUAGACCUUGGGGACCAUGACCAUCUGGUCAGAACCUGUACUGAGCACACCCUUGGACCAAGACUCCUACCAAAGAGUACCAGAAGACAAUACUGGCAUGGGGUCCGCACAGUAACAGUGCUCCUGAGAGGUUGGAGAGAAGUCAGGCUAACAAGGGAAGAAGUUGCAGCAGGAAGGAAAUAACAAGAAGCUGACAGGCUGCUGCUGGUGUGCAAGGCUGUUACUUCCCCAGUGCAGGGGGAACCUGUCAGAAGCCAGGUGGCUUCCAAGCCCUCACCGUCCUGUUGAGAGCCGGUGCAUAGAAAAUGCCAUAAAACUCUCUGUGAUUGCAAGUUACAAAGUCUAGGACUUUAUACAACUGUCUUUCGCUCGCCCUAACCAGAGGAUGGGAAACAUGGUGCCCAGCGCCCUCCUUCUCCUCCUGGCGACGUCGCCAGGCGAGACCCAGACCUGCUCAGGGUCACACUCUCUGCGGUAUUUCUACACCGCCCUGUCCCGACCUGCACCCGGCGAGUCCUGGUACAUCGCUGUGGGCUACGUGGACGACACACAGUUCGUGCGCUUCAACAGCGCAGGGGAGAGUGCGAGAUAUAAGCUACGUGCGUCCUGGGUGGAGCAGGAGGGCCCCGAGUAUUGGCAGAAGGAGACAGAGAUCGUCACAAGCAAUGCACAGUUUUUCCGAGGAAACCUACAGACCAUGCUUGACUACUACAACCUGAGCCACGACGGCUCUCACAUCAUCCAGGUGAUGUAUGGCUGUGACGUGGAAUCCGAUGGGAGCCUCCUCCGCGGUUAUGAGCAGUAUGCCUACGAUGGCCGAGAUUACAUCACCCUCAACGAAGAUCUUAAGACUUGGACAGCAGAGGACAGGGCGGCGCAGAUCACCAGACUCAAGUGGGAGCAGGCUGGUUAUGCAGAGCUCCGCAGGACCUACUUAGAGGGCCCAUGCAAGGAUUCGCUGCUCAGAUACCUAGAGAAUAGAAAAGAGAUGCUGCAGUGUACAGAUCCUCCAAAGGCACAUGUGAGCCAUCACCCCGGACAUGAAGGUGAUGUCACCCUGAGGUGCUGGGCCCUGGGCUUCUACCCUGCUGACAUCACUCUGAUCUGGAAGAAGGAGGAGGAGGAACUGAACCAAGAGAUGGAGCUUAUACAGACCAGGCCUGCAGGGGAUGGGACUUUUCAGAAGUGGGCAGCUCUGGUGGUGCCUUCUGGGGAGGAGCAGAAGUACACAUGUCAUGUGUACCAUGAGGGGCUACCUGAGCCCCUCACCCUGAGAUGGGAGCCUCCUCAGUCCAGAAUGCGGACCAGGGUCAUUGUUGGUGCUGUCCUUGGUGCUAUGGCCAUCUUAGGUUUUAUGACUGGAGGUGCUGUGAUGUGCAUGAGAAAGAACAAGGGAGGAGACAGAGAUUAUGAUCCUGCUGCCGUCACAAUGUGAGGGAACAGUUGUCCCUGAGGCAAGGAAAGUUCCUGACCUCUCUCAGGACACUUGAAAAGCUGCCUGGUGGAACCCAGUGGCAAGUUCUGACAUAGAAACAGUGGAUUCCCUUUGGACAUCAAUGUCUGUGGAUUUAUGCUUUUGGCUGUGGACACAAUGGGGAAAUCUGAAGAGCCCAGCCCACCCCUGUACUCCAGGACCCUGUCUGUGCACUGCCUGUCUUCCCUGGCAUAGCCAACCUUAGACAGCAGAAGACAUCUGCAUCCAGUCAGCGCCAUGUUGCCCUGGGCUGCAGCUCCUCACUUCCACACAGAAAUAAGGAUCUGAAUGUGAACUCCUUGACCUGAGCCGUUCACUGGUGGGGAAGUUACUGGAUUGAGAACACUCAGAGUAUUGCGAAGGAAAUAAAUGGCAGAUGGAGAACCUA